GGACAAAGAAGCCCCAGUGAGUCCUGAACAGACUUGAAGAAGAUGGUGCAGGACAGAGCAGCAAUAUUUCGGGGCAGCUGAUUCCCAGAAUUCAAGGACCGUGGUGGUCUUGGAACCAGGAACAGCCCUCCAGCUGCACCUGGGAGAUGAGGUCCUUCUCCUGGUCCUGUUGAGGCCUACAGCUCACACUCCACAAGAAGGUUUACUCUUUUAAGACAUAUGUA
rnacentral:lncRNA from 1 species